GAUGGAAAGAAUGAUACACCUUCUUUAGAAGAAAUAAUUUCUAUAAUCUGGGCUGAAGAAAGUAGGAGAAAUCUCGUGUUUGAGCCAAAAACUAUGGAGAGUUCAAUGUUGAUUAUCAAAUCAAAUCAAUUUCAAAAGAAAAAAAACCUGAAAUGGUGAACAUUAAUGGAAAGAGAACAAGGACAAGACACAGAGAAGGAAAAAUGUUGGAAAUAAUUGGCAAACCUCAAAGUAAGGAAUGGGGAAAUCAUGGAAGGCCAUCAAGGCCUAAAGCUCAUUUGGCAUAUGUACCUCAGAUUGAAGAACAAGUAUCAGUGAAAAGGUUUAACAAUGAAAAGAUUAAAAAAAUUGAAAGAAUUUUUAGGAUCUCUUGACAGGCCCUCUAGAUGAGGAUCCUUCUUUGUAGCCCUCUCAAGUAUGCCUUUAUGCAUGAAUGCUUCAUACGCUAUCAAUUCUUGGAUAAUAGAUUCGGGAGCCACUUAUCAUAUGACUCCCACAACUCAAUUGUUCCAUAAUUAUAAUCAUGUCCCUAAUAGCAUGAAAAUUAUUGUUGCCAAUGGGUCCCUAAUUUCUAUUGCAUGCCAUGGAAAUAUACAUAUCUCACCUUCUCUCAUUACAAGAAUUUUUGAAGUUUGCGACACUUGGCCUGCGACGGUUCUGAAAUAACUGCCCCCAUCACGACAUUGCGACGGUUCCUGGGGCGGUUUUCGUCAACCGCCGCCACCAUACCACCAUAAAGCACGAGAUUUUCAUCCUCACCCCCAGUUAGCGGCGGUUCCUGGGGCGGUUUUAAGCAACCGUCGUCGUUUAGGGCAAUACAUCUCUCUUUGUGUUUCGUUUUCCAGAUUUUGUAAUGUAAUUUGUCACUCCCGCGUGUAUUCCUUUCUUAUCCACGCGCAUAUAAACCCUAAAAUUUCUGAAAACCCCCAAAUCUCUCAACCUCUGUCAACCCUAAAACUUCUGAAGGAAACGAAAUCAAAGAGAAACGAAAUCGAAGACAAACCAAAUCUACUCUGUAAAAGAAGGUGAUUUAUCAUCUUGGAAACAAAAUCAACUCUUGCAAAGUGACAGUGCUUCUUCGUGCCCAUCUUCGGUGACGGCGCUGCUUUCAACCUCUCUUUGGUGACGGUGUAGCGUAACACUUCUCCAUCGACCGCGCAACAUAACACAAUAGAAAUGGAUAAAUCAUGGAUUAAGAAGCCACACACAUCAGAUGAAUAUGAUCAAGGGAUAAAGGAAUUUAUUAAUUUUGCCUUUCGAGAUGAAUUAGAAAAUGGCGAAAUAAUAUGUCCUUGUAAACGCUGUGGUUUCAAAAAACCGCAGAGUAGAAGUGUAAUGUAUGAUCACUUAAAGUGCAAACCAUUUCCAAAGGGAUACACCCUUUGGGUACAUCACGGAGAGUCCAUAGUAGAAGAUGGCAAUAAUCGAAAGAAAGUUCCUACAAAAGUUCUUCGUUAUUUUCCAUUAAAA